UAUACUAGUAAUCUGUGGGAUUUACCAUUUACGCAUUUCAAUUCAGAUAUUUUGACCACACAAUAUCCAAUCGCUAGCUACUACAAGUACUAGUGUGCCUAGUGCCUACUGUGUAGUUUGUUUAUCGGUUACCACCAAAUAUAUACUAGUAACCUGUGACUAGUUAUCUGUAGUUACCACUUACCGUAAGUUCUACGUUACAGUAUUCAGCAUAGAGCUUAUGACGUAGUGAUUAUAUUCUCUCUGAUAGAGCUGAGAGCAAUAUAAUACAUCGGAUAGUAUUCAGCUAAAGUCAUCGAGCUAAAAUGACGGGGUCAGUGCUGAGCACUAUAGUGGUGUUAGCGGUGGCAUUGGUAACGGCGGUGGUAGUGGUGAUGAAACACAACCCGCCACCGCAGUACAACACGUACGGCGAGAGAAAGCAGAGGCAGUAAACUUGCCCAUAGACGGUCCUCGAGAUAAGUCACCAAAAUU